rnacentral:rRNA from 1 species
GACGAACGCUGGCGGCGUGCUUAACACAUGCAAGUCGAACGGAAAGGCCCUGCUUUUGUGGGGUGCUCGAGUGGCGAACGGGUGAGUAACACGUGAGUAACCUGCCCUUGACUUUGUGAUAACUUCAGGAAACUGGGGCUAAUACCGGAUAGGAGCUCCUGCUGCAUGGUGGGGGUUGGAAAGUUUCGGCGGUUGGGGAUGGACUCGCGGCUUAUCAGCUUGUUGGUGGGGUAGUGGCUUACCAAGGCUUUGACGGGUAGCCGGCAUAAGAGGGUGACCGGCGACAAUGGGACUGAGAUACGGCCCAGACGCCAACGGGAGGCAGCAGUGGGGAAUAUUGCACAAUGGGCGGAAGCCUGAUGCAGCAACGCCGCGUGCGGGAUGACGGCCUUCGGGUUGUAAACCGCUUUCGCCUGUGACGAAGCGUGAGUGACGGUAAUGGGUAAAGAAGCACCGGCUAACUACGUG